rnacentral:lncRNA from 1 species
CCUUCCACAUUUCUUUUCCUAUCUCUCUCAUUCUCCCCCAACCAGUCACGUCACCACCGGUGAACCGACGCCGGUGGACCAUCCAACACCGGCGCCGCCUCCUUCGCUCUCUGCCCAGCCGCCUCCUUCUCUCUCUGCCCAGCCGCCUCUCUCUCUUUUUCUCUUUAAACCCGACAGCGCCACCGUCCUCAUCACCGACAAACCCACUGCCGAUGGGCACAAUCAGUCCGCCGUCGCGAACCACCCCACCGGUGAGCCAGCCAGCGACCCAACGGUCCUACACUCUUCCUUCUCCUCCGGGGAAUCCCAUUUUACCGCCGCUGCACAACAGCCAAAGCAGCCGCCAUAGCAGCCGCCUUUCACCAGCGACGCCAACCAGUCCGCCGAACCAACGAAAAUCAGCCUCAAAACCAGCUGCCGCCACCCUCCUCACCCUCACACUGCCGCUCCAAGUUUCGGUCAAAUAUCACCGGAAAAUAUUGAAGUUUACGAUGGAUUCUCCAAAUUCGUCUCAAAUUUGUUUCUCUAUUUAAAUUUAUGCCAAUUUAUUAUUAGAUAAAUUGAUUAAUAGAUUUGAAAUAGAUGAAAUUUGGCUAUGUCUUGACUCGAUUUGUUCUAUUUCGUGUUUAUUUGACACCGUUGAAUUUACAUAUGUGAAAGCCCUGAAUUCUAUCAACCUAACCAUAAUUCUUUUCUUCAUGAGUACUAAUUUUAUUCUAUUUUGAUAUUCAUGUUUCCUUGGACGUUAAUUGAAAUGGUUGUUCAUGUGCAAACUUUAUUUAUUAGGAUAUAGAAUGGCUACUUUUCUCGGCUCCAUUUGAUUCACGAUAGUUUUAAUGUGAUAAAAAUAAUUAUUUAUAGAUUCUUCUGCGGUA